GAGGUGCUAAAUAUAUUUGAACUUUCUUUUUUCUUUAAAGGUGAGAGCAUACCACCUAUAAAUUUAUUAAAAGUAAAAUAAGAAAAUACAAAUAGGAGGAAACAUAAGCAAAGACCACAACUAAAAGGGAAAAGACUUGAACAAAAGAAAAUAAAGUGGACCAAAGCAUAACAAUGUAAGCUACGAUUACAAGCCAGAGGGCCCUGUUUUAUUCCACGAAACCACAUGCUUCACUUGAACCAGGAGUUGCCAUCCCUCAAAAAUCGAAUCCCUGUACAGAGCACAAAAAUAUAUUUGGACUCGAUUAAUAAAUUUUGAAGUAAACACGUGACUCAUACUUUAAUAAUUUGGUGUAGCAUUUGUUGAAUUAUCAGUGCUGGUCAUUGAUAUCCAAGUCAUUUAUCAAGCACUCAAAUCUUUGUACAUAUGGUAUAUAUGUAUGAGAUUCACACCAUUCAUCUGCCCCAAUCAUGGAUCCAUUGUAUCCCAAAAAUCCCAGAUCCUAGCUGCUCCAUGAAAGAUUUAGGAGACUUCCUAGAUGAAAUUAAGUCCUAUCAUUGGUCAAUAUUCAAUAGGCAGAACUUCUUCAAUCAGCAGCUCGGAUUAUCUUACCCAUGUGAUUUUCUGGAUUAUGAUCCAUUCAUGGAGGAUCUAACAGAUGAACGGAUUCAUUGAAUUCAUGGAGAGCACAUGGUAAUAAAUUUAGAUGGUAGAGCUUUCCUUUUAUUGACCACACAUGCCAAUAUGGAACAACUGACAUUCCCCUCUUCAAGGUGGACCACAAUGCACAGAGUAGAUGAAAUUUUGUUUCAACCAUUCUUAUGUUCAGUGCAUAAUAUCAGCCAUUCUUAUGUCCUGUAAAUCAUAUACAUAUUUGCCCACUUGUGUUCUAGGACAAAAGAUCCGAACAGUAUGGCCCACCUGAUGGAAGGUUGGAUCUCACAUGCCUGUUCCAUAUUAGCAUGUGUACCUGACACAAGCGUACACGGUUAGCAAACCUUUUAUGUCUGUGCAUCUAACAGUUGACCCAACGUAAUCGUGUGGAAAGCACCAAGGAGCGGGGCCUUGCUAGUGGAUAGCUCGUGAGACACGUGGCGCAUGGAUGGCCGAGAUUGAGGGUUGGUAUGUAAGCAUGCAAGUGCCAAAGUGGCUGUAGCAACCAAACCCUUCAUGUUUUCAAGCGUGGGAGGAGGGAGGCGUUGGUCCAAUACAUCCAUCAGCAGUAUAUCUUGGCCACCAGACGUUGCCAACGAUGAGAGGAGAUCUCCAGGAUGCCUUCCCAUUAUCACUUCAAAUGCUACAACACCAAAGCUAUAUACGUCGCAUUUCUCAGUAACUCUCAUUGUGUAAGCAAACUCUGCACAAAACAUAAAAAUAAGAUCAUGUUUCAAAACCUACAUCCAUCGGUACUUGAUGCUAUAUAUGCUUACUUCCGCUCA